UCAAGGCGCCGUGUCUGACCGCUUUGAAACCAUUUGAUAGAGAUUUGGGGAAAUUUUACACCCAUGGUGGAAAAAAGUGUCGUCCGGAGGCGGAAGGAGGGAGCAGCGUUCACCUGUCACAAAUGACAGGAGCAGAGCUGAGAUGAACCCGUUCUCCUCGGGAAAAAACUAACACGCUCCGCCACCCCCCCCUCAGGAGGGACUACGAAACGCCUUUCCGUUCAGGAGGGUUUUCACUAUGCGAUGUCACAAAACAUGACCAGUGAGUAAUUACACUUACUUACUAUUUUGCACUGGGAAGAAAACACAAAUAGCGUGCGAGGCUGCGGUAAAACCGAUCCACUUGCCUGCUUCUAGCUGCAAAAACAAGCCAAGAAAUGCAAGGCAAAUGAAACUUCCAACAAUUGGCAGUUUUGCUUAGACAUGCUGCAAACUCUUGACAACAGUAUAGAUGAAGCAGCCAAGACCACAAUAAAUCAAUCAAAAUCGGAAGGCAAGUUAAAUGUUGAUGCCAUAGCUGACACAGCUUCAGAAAAGAGAUUUCAACCCAUUCUAGUAAGUCUGUUGUCCUACAACAUAUGGCAUUAAAAUGAAAAUAUAUAACAAGUUACACUGUUCAGGCAUUCCAAGAUGAAGAACUUGCCAAUAAGAACACUGUAUGUGGAACCUGCAAGAUGUGAAAAAUCCAGAAGCUGUAAGGCGUAAAGACAUUAACGUGCUUGAUCCAAAUGGCUCUAAAUCUCUAAGUCUUCACAAGUACUUCCACCUGUGAAGGAUGCCCCUCCCAAGGAUACUUCAGAUCCUUCUUGGAAGAAUACAAAAGCUAUUAUCUCUGAGAAGAUGCUCAGUGGUACUUAAGCUGAGGUUGCUUCCUGUAGUCAUGAUGCUAGAGCAACAGAGCAGAAGGGUGAAAAAGGAGUUGAUAUCGAGAAUGAUAAAGUGAGGGGACAAAAAAUAGAAAUUAAUAAAUCAUCGUUUAUCUAUAGCCAUACAAAGGUCUCACUCCUGCAUGAAGAUCCUGAGCAGUUAUACUGGCACAUCAUACAAAAGUAUUGCAACUGUUUCUAAUCCUACUGCUUUUAAGAAGAACAGUCAUCGUGCCUGUAUGCAGAUUCCACAUACAAAGCAAAACCAAUAUUCAAAACAUGACAUCCAGGGCUCUUUAACCGGUAACGUCAGGAACAGGUAUGCUGAGGUCAAGGAAGAAAACGAAUAAAAACUGCAGGAGGUUCCACUGCUUUCUGCACUGCCUUCCUUAACAGUCAGCCACGUUGUGGGAGAUGCAGUGCCAUCCAGACUGAACUAACAUUUCCAUGUUGGAAUUUCAUCCUUUUUUAAAAGUUUGUUAGACUGUAAGAAAAAAAUUUCCUUGUGAGCAACGUGGAUAGUUGUAGUUUUUGUAGCUGCUAUUAAUAGGAUUAUAAGCUGCUGAAUGCCAAUUACUUUGAUGCAGGUUUAGUUUCUUCCUGUCUGUAAGAUAGAUUGAUUAGAGCCUUAAAUAGCUUAUUCCGGGCAUGAAGUGCAACCUCUUCAUUUAGAUUCACUCUGAAUGUCUACGGUAGCCUGGCACGGUAAUUGAGUAUUUGAUGCUGCUGAGCACUGAAGCGAUGCCUAACUUUAGGAACAUUCUUAAAUCCAUGCCUACUCCGCAAGGCAUUUAAUAAUAUUCUUAAUUUAAACAGUGCUAAAUCCUGUUGAGCUUCACAGACAAACAUCUGCAUCUAUUCCUUGCUAAUUUGGCACCUAAAAGAAAUGGAAAUGACCUGGAAAGCACACGGUGGUGAGACUGACAGUUACUUACAAUUAUUUUUUCAUACUCCUUGUAGAUUAAUUUUUAAAAUCCUGUUAAUGCGUUCUUGGUUUGUUUCUGUUUAAUAUGUAAUCUGUGCAUUAUGAUAGUCACUGAUUCUUGUUUCAUCUCAUACUGAGGGACUUUUUCUUUUGUGUUAAAAAACAAAAGAGCCGUCUUUCCAUAGAUACAUAGGUAACUGCAGUUCAGCACAGAGAUUUACUGCAACUCACCCUUCCCCUCUUUUGAUGCUUUGAUAAAAAUUUGGAACAGGGAAAGAUAAUACCAGUGCAGGGCUCCGAAUAGCAUAUGGUUUCCACUUUAAAACAGAUGAAGGAAUGCAAUAUCUUUUUAGUUUUAUUUCUUUAGUAAUAAACGUGCAUAAAUGUAGUUUUAGUAGUUUUCUGGCAUCAGUUUGUUGUGUUCAUCUUCAGGUAUCUCAACAUGAGAGCUAAAGAAUCAUCACCUUCCAGAGGCAUAGUUUCAGUAAAAUAGGUGAUAUGUAGUCUAUGUAUCUAAAUAUGUGUUUAUUCCUUUAAAAAAUGGAAGGAUGACAGGGCUUCAUCUCUUCACCCAAUACUCAAGUGAAACGACCUCUAGAGAGGAACACAGGAGCUGAGUGCUAGUGUUAAAUAACAGCUCCAAGCAGUUUGCUUUGUCUCUAAUACAAAUUUUCCUGGGAAUUGCUUAGGGAAAUCUGGAAAUUUUUUAGAACAUUCAUUUGCAUAGAAAGUAUAUUACAAUACUUUAAGAAGCAUAUCUUUAAGUAGAGUGACAUAUCGGCUUCAGGUGCAGAGUAUGCGAGUUGUCGCACUGGAGGUUAGAACAGGGCCACCGUUUUUCUGGCAGCAAAUGUGAUUUUUCCAGCGCGGGUAGUUCUGUGCUGGAGGGAGGAGUGCCACCUGCCGAACGGCGACCGAAACACGCACCCGUGCCACAAAGCACAAGGCUGCUGGCAGCGUUACUGUCUGCUGCAUUCCUUCACUCUUCCUCAAGAACAAAAGCUAAACUUUUCAGCCUGAAAUAGCAGUAAUAUUUUGUACCUGUUUGGUAUUUUGCUGCAAGUCAAGAGGGAAAGUUAUAAAGUACAUAUUCAAAAGUUACACAGGUCUUAAAAAUAGGUCAUUAUAGCUGAUAAUAUUAUCUAUAUGCAUCUUUUACCUCUUUCAAUACUCUGGAUAUCUGCAAAUCUCUGCCAGUGCCUGCCUGGAGACAAGCUCUAUCUUGGUUGUUCCAGGAAACAGGGUUUUUUUGUUGUAGUAACUUGUCCUACUGCUAUUCAGUUACAGUGCUACAGUCACACAAGUGCAGUAUCAUUACGACAGAACAGACACCCCCUCUAACAUACCAUUUUCCUCCCUUCUUUGUACCCAUCCCUCUAUGGUAAUAUAUUUUUUGCAUCCUGUUUUUCAUAUUUAGAUAUAAAAUGCAAGCUCUACAAAAGAAGCAUCCUUCACAAAUAGCCCCAAGAUAAAUAAAUUCAUAUAUACUUAUUUCAGUCCCGUUUUCCACUAAAUAAAAAAUUCAAACAUAUAUGUACCUGUGAAACUAGUAACAUUUUCCAUAGUCUAGAAGGAGAGAUGAUAGUCCCUCCCAUUCAGACAACUGAAAAUACUGCUGCUUCAGUGAGAAAACUGAAAAAUAAACUGCAUUACCAAUUAACAGGAAGUAAAGCCAAACAUGUUCAUUAUAGUAAUUAUAAGUUGCAGCCAUUGCAGACAGGUAGCAAAUUCUUUAGGACUACAGAAAAAAAAAAAUGUUUAAAGUUGCAGGGAAAACUAUAAACUUUAUUUCCACAUUUUCCAGUGUUUCAUGCCAGGUAAGAUUUUUGCGGAGGUUUCUGAAACUGUCAAAUCAGACAGAUUAGACAGAGGUUUUACUGCAGCCUGACACAAGAUAUUUGUAAGAACCACCCUCGCAGAUUACUGCGAUAAGACCUGUAGCAGAAGACCAGAAAAGCUGCUAACUAAAGGCCCAGAACAUAAAGGAAUACACAACACUUAAGCUUAAAUCACGUGCCCUUGAAUACACUGGGUUCUUCUAGCACAGGAAACACCAGCUUCUUGUUUACGUGUAAAAUCUCUCAAGAAUAAAGCCAUUCCUGUUCAGGAAGGGAAAUAAAUUUAAGGGCUAGAUCAGCUAGAAGUGCUUCCUGUAUUCAAGUUGCCAAAACAAAACAAGCAAAAGGGGAAUUGUUGACAACAAUGUAAAAAUACAAUGAUGGAACACCUGAAAGUUAAAUCAACAUUUUUGCCCUUCUGUUUUAGGUCCAAACUUCCAAAGGACUGAUUCCAGAGGACUCACUGUCAAAUCCUGGAGCCAGAAAGAAAAUCUGCCUCUAAUUCCAUUGUUUUGACACAAAACAAUCAGCUUGCCAGCAUGCAAUUUCUUUAAGUGAAGGAAAUUCAGAACUAAACACAAAGUGGUCAGGGAUGUUUUCACUGCCAGCAGAAGAAAUAAGUGAAUUCUCAGCAAUAGCAAGCAAAAAAAUAGUUCAAAAAUACAUGAGGCUUCCCUUCUAAAGAGCCAUUAUCAUCUUCUCAAUUGAGAGUUAAAGUUCAUCCUGCCUUUUACACUGUCUACCAUUUGUGAAAGUUUCAUGAGGAUCAGUCUGUCCAAGUACGACUUUUGUCCAUGAGCCAAAUCUGUUCUGAAUAAUGAAAAGCCUGAAAUAACAGCAAAAUCAUCCCUAUGGUAGGAAUAGGGCUAUUAUUCCUAAAAGGAUGGUCAGCAUCUUAUACAUUUGACUCUUCCCUAAUUUUAAAUGUUCAGAACAGGAAUUUAUUUUCUAGAUACAACGUACUCCCCUCUGGAAGUAUCUUUCAUAUUUUCCUGCCACUAGGGCUGAGCGGUGCCUUGUGGAAAUGCCUCCCUCCGAGUGUGACAGGACUGGGAACAGCAGCCUCUAUACAGCAGAGAAUGUUUCAGGUGUGACUGUAGCUGAUGUAAGGGUAGAACUAGGAGCAUCUGCUUGUUCGCCCACUGAAUUAUAUAUUAAGAUAGACAGGUAACAGUAGAAAUUAGCAUUUUGUAUUUUCCAACUAACAGAAAAUGGUGGGAUUUUUAUUAAGCAUGGGAACUGUACAGGAAGAAAAGAGACAAAGUAUGAUCCAUGCUUCAAAUCAACAUAUGCUAGCUUUUUUUUUUUUUUUAAUAUUCAUAGUGGCAAAAAUUAUUUUCUCAGUUAUAUAAAAUAUAUUGCAAAAUAAUAAAAGAUGUUAGAGAGGACUGCAAUUUUCUAGUACUUUAAAAACUAAUCAUCAUAAUGUAGUUGAAUUUCUACUUGAUGUUACUUAUGACUAGAAAUCUUGAAAAUUACAGGAGGGGUAGAUGAUAGGGUAGAUAAAGAAUGUAAAGUAAUCCUGUCCUGAGAGUCUGUUGUAAAAGAAAGGCCUCUGUCAGUGAGCUGAAACCACAGAGAUAUUGCAUUGUGCAUACAAGGUAACUACAGACUUAAGUUUUGCACCCACUGCUGAGAGGUUUGAGAUGGAGCACAACUAGUGCAGCCCCAGCCUCAGUGCUGCUGGUCAGAAGAACCCAGUGCUGCCCAUACACAUCAGAGUCCACACCAGUCUAUGCACAGGUUCACUUAGAGCAGAGACCCUCUCGAGUGGAUUUGUUUCAGGUUUAUGACUCUUGACAUUCCAAACACCUUUGUGUUGCCAGUUUAAACUUCUGAGGAUUCACUGACAAGCAGGACUACACAGGAAAACUUUUGCUGCCUCUAGAGAUCAAGGGCUGACAUUGUAGAAUAGUUUUAAUUUACAAAAUCUCUACCAAUUCAAAAGACACCUAGCUAUCAAAAGGUAAGGUGCUAAGGAGCAAUGGGUGGUACUUACCAACAGGCACUGAGUACCCCACCCAUGCCUCUAUAGGCAGGAGAUCACAGCCAUUAAAACAGAAGGCAAAAAAUGAUUGAAGUUAACUUUAUUCCAAAAUAUGUAUAAUUUACAGGACUAAAUUAAGUGCUUCAUUUGUGAACAAAACGUUUCAAUACUUGUGAAUAACUUACUAGUCGCUUUGCGUAACACUUCAGUUUCCAACAGAGGGAAAUAUGAAACAGUAUUUUGGCACAAGGUUUUCUCUGCAUGCAUUAAUAUACUUAAAAGUUUCACAAUUACUAGGACAACAUUCCUUCUUUGGGAUUGUCUCAGAAUUUAUGCUUGCUUUUGUCCGCUCAUCGUAAGUUCACUGGCUUAAAUAACAAGAAUUAAACAUGGACAUCCUUUGAAAACUCAAUUUGUCCACUAGAUCAAAAUCCCACCAGUGAUGAGAAGAAAAAUAUUUUAAGGACAUUUCUCAUCCUUUUUGAGAUUCACUCACACAUGCCUUGGGAACGACUCACCCAUGAGAUUUAUUACUCAUCCAUUCUAAAUAAUUACAAGUUUAAUUUAGAUCAUAAUCAGGUGUUGAGUUCUGUAAACUGAAGAAAAUACAGCUGUCCUUCAUAUCUAGCUUUAUCAUAGAUGCACUUGUAAAUAUCUGUAGAUAGAAGUGCUGUCAAUCUAGCUCUGCAUGCAAAUGCUUGAAGCAUGCAUGUAAAGCAUUAGUUGUUGUGCAGUGUACAGUUUACAUCAUCACAAGUCAUCUAUUAUAUUCCAUUGCUAGUUGACAAUACUGCUGUAAAGCCAGUAUAUGAAAAAGAAUCAGAAGUAAAGACUUUCUGCUGUUUAACUCAGCAGUUCGUUCAGGAGUUCCCACUGUGUCAGGCUGUCCGAUUACAUUUUUGGUGAAGUGGAAGAGUCACGUGCACUAAUACAAACAUACCCUCAACCUGGCUGCAGGGCAGCGAAGAGUUGAAUGACGUAGUUCCUUGAUUCUGUUCAUUGCAUAGCAAUGGCACUUUAAACAAGAAAAUUCAGUCAUGCUCUAAGCAGCAAAUUCUUCUAGCACACAUUUAAGUUCACAGCAACUGUUAAAAAACAACAAAAGAAACAGAAGAUGCCCGUUUGCACCAUGCACUGAUGCUUGCUACCAUGAAACAACCCUGUCCCCACAGUGUUCAUAUAAAGUUACUACUGGAAGUCCGCUGACUGUAGGCCUGUUCUACUAAGAACACAAGCAUAGCAGCACCUUAAACCAAACGUGAAUGAAAAAGCUUGCAAGGCCCAGAAUGUUGACAACAUUUUGGUGUGAAUGUAUUUGGAACAGCAAAUUGUACAUUAAGAUCAUGUUUAAAAAAACCCAGCACGUCAGAAAUAUAUUAAAGCACAGGAAACUGUACAACCUUAAUGAUAAAGGCAAGUACAUUUGGUUCACUUCUGAGUUGUCAUUUCAGUAACGUAUUCUUUUGCAAGUUGAGCACCCUAUGUUGAUUCAGUAUGUAUGAGUCCUACUGACUUCCCCUAUAUUUGAAAGAUUAUUAAAAAACCCCUAACACCCCAACAUCCCAAUCCUGCCAACACUCACAUCUCUACCCAGCCUCACAAAAAACCCCCCCAAACAACCAAUUCAGAUCUGACUAAGCGCGUGAGCAUGUGUUAGCAGGAUAAGGAUUUAAAACCGUAGAAGGCAGACGUCUUUCUUUGUUCUGUUGCCUCUACACAAUUAAGGUACAUAUGACUAACAAGGAAAUUCAGCCUUUUGUUUUUAACAGAAAAAAUGACUGCGUAUGUGCCUUGGAAUUAAAAUUUGUAAGGAGUGUUAGUUACAUAGUAAGUUACAGACACCGAUUCAAUUGUUCAAAACCAGAUGAGGUCUCACAAGGCUUGUUUUACAGCUGUUUAAUUUACAGCUGCAAGUAUACAUAUGUGUAUAAGAUUUCAUAUCCUUUGGAAGUGAAAAUUUUCUAGACACAAGCAGCUUUGCAUAGCUAAGAAUACGUAGCGUUAGUAAACUCUGAUUUUACACUACCAAUUUCUCUAGGCUGACAUGAAGAGCUGGGGGAGGAUUCCCUCCCUACCCAAAGCAGAAAGAAGUAUUUACAAGUGUAUUAGCAGAAACAGAUGCAAAUAAAGCCAAAAUUAGAAGAAACAUAUAUCUAGCGACAUACAAGCUUUUAGCAUUGUGACAAAUAUGAAAGGCAACAAGACAGACCACUCAUUUUUCAGCUGUUUUGUGCUUAUGCUCUCAUAGAAUGCGUGUCCCAAAUUUGUUUGGUUCUUUUAUGUACUAAAAAAAGCUCAAGUGAAACUACAAAACUACCAAUUCAGUUUUUGAGUAGCAUUACACAGGCAUCCAUUUCAAGAUCCAGCAAUCACAGCAUAACAGAAUUCAGCAGGAAAUGCAGAGAGUAAGUACAAGUAACAUUAGUAUCACUUCCAGAUAAAAAUUUGUGCUAAGAGGCUAUGGAGUAUCUGAUGUUACUUCUUGUGUAGCAGUUAAAAUGGCAGUAGAGGAUACAAAGAAGAUAAGCAAAGUACUAAGUCACUGCUGACUGAUACUUAACAAUAGAGACAGUGCCUUGAAAAUCAGAGGCAAAUUGCAGAAAAAUGGAGAUAAGUAUAAUUUUAGUCCUACCAAGAAAUAGUUUGGACUGAAAUUUAUUUUUAAAACAAUGGCCAAAAAAGAAAAUCAGCCAUUUUAAAGAGCUUGUUCAAAUGUGAAGAAUUCAUAAUAUUCAGCAACAGUAUCUCAGAUCAUGUUUCAUUACAUUUACUGUGGGAUUCAGCAAACUAAGAAGUCUGGUUGCAGUCUUCACAUUUUCACAAAAAUACUUAUGUAUGCAGCAACAUAGGAUCCAAACUUGUUUCUGACUUUUAUGAAUAAUUUGGAGAAGCAAAUUUGUGAAGAAGCAAGCUAAUUUUGGUCAGAAUGAUCCACUUCCCUAAAGAAAUGCAGGCAUAUUUAAUAGUUUCUUAAUACUGCACUUUCAAUAAAUAAUUUCAUGUUGCAGUACUGUGUUCACCUAACUAAAGUUCAAGUUAUUUUAAACACACUGGAUGAGGGAAGGGAAUCAUAUUUGCAUAUUCUAAUAAAAUACACAAAACUCAUGAGUACUUUUAAUUACAAAGUACAAUAAAUGAGUAACAUUUACAUUGUAAGAUUCUGUCUACACAAGCUUUUUUUUUCCUGAUAGUCACUGAUGUUGAGAGCUUUGGCUUAUACCCUAAGAGCAUGGCAAUUCUCAUUCCGAUUUGUAAAUUAGUUUCAAAGUUCUUUAAAUGCUAGCUGCUCUCAGAUGGCUACAAUUCAAAGCCAUCUGUAAUUCUGCUCCUCAUCACCCAAGAUUCCUUCUCUUGCAGGAAAAAGACAGACUUUCUAAAUUCAGAGGUAAUGAACAGUUUCUCACUUCUGCCUUCUACAGCUGGGGAAAAUGCAGUUUUCCCCAAUCAGAUUUAUAGUAACUGCUCCUCUUUCAUGCGUCAGUACUGACAACUUGCACGUGGGAAACACAGAAGCCUACAUAUGAAGAGAUGUUCUCUGGUAUUCCAGCCAGGGGGAAGAAAGGAGAAGGGAAAACACUUUAAAACAUGAAGAAGCAACAUUACUAGAAAAGGAAUGCAAUAAAUUAACCUAAUUUUGUCAUUUAUUUCCUACUUUCAAAGGAGGCAAGUAAAUAUGAAUCAGUCAUAUCUUCAGAAGAAACAGAAUUACAAGCAAGGCCUUCCUUUAAUUAACAUAUCCCACCUUUAAGAUCAGAACUCUAGGUACUGUGAAACCUGGGGGAACUUUCCCCAAAGCAGAAUUACUGUACUCCUGGGGAGAACUGCAAGAUUCCUUUCUGCAGUUUCUUCAGCUAAAGACUGGAAGUAUCUGAAAUCACAGCUAGAAAUGUUGAAAAAUUAAACAGGCAACAACAGCUGUGGUUUCAGGAGGAAAAUACGAGUUUCAGGGUUAAUCUAAAGAGAUUAUUUACAGUAAAAGUAGAGCUGCUUAUCAUAUUAGUGUGUUAACUACGGCAAUUUAAAGAGUGGUAGGAAGAGA